CUUUCCUACGGGGCGCAGCAGUGGGGAAUAUUGCGCAAUGGGCGAAAGCCUGACGCAGCGACGCCGCGUGAGGGAUGAAGGGCUUCGGAUCGUAAACAUCUGGCAGCAGGGAAGAACGGUCACUGUGCUAAUCAGCAGAGAAUUGACGGUACCUGCAAAGGAAGCACCGGCUAACUCCGGGCCAGCAGCCGCGGGAAUACGGAGGGUGCGAGCGUUAAUCGGAAUUACUGGGCGUAAAGCGCUCGUAGGCGGGAUGUCAAGUCAAGGGGGAAAUCCCCGCGCUCAACGCGGGAACGGCCAUUGAA
rnacentral:rRNA from 1 species